rnacentral:rRNA from 1 species
CAGCAGCCGCCGCGGUAAGACAAAGGAUGCAAGUGUUAUCCGGAAUGAUUGGGCGUAAAGCAUCUGUAGGUGGCUUUUCAAGUCCGCCGUCAAAUCCCAGGGCUCAAUCCUGGACAGGCGGUGGAAACUACCAAACUGGAGUACAGUAGGGGCAGAGGGAAUUUCCGGUGGAGUAGUGAAAUGCGUUUAGAUUGGAAAGAACACCAAUGGCAAAAGCACUCUGCUAGGCUGACACUUACACUGAGAGACGAAAGCUAGGGGAGAAAAUGGGAUUAGAUACCCCGGUAGUCCCUGUCUCUUAUAC